GCCACCACAGCCGGCUUAUUUUUGUACUUUUAGUAGAGACGGGGUUUCUCUAUGUUGGCCAGGCUGGUCUCGAACUCUUGACCUCAAGUGAUCCGCCCACAUUGGCCUCCCAAAGUGCUGGGAUUACAGGCAUGAGCCACCACAACCUGCUGUUUUCAUGCCUUUUAAUCUUCCCUGAAAAUUUUCUGUAUACUGCCAUGAGUAAAGUGUUUGUCACUUUCAGCUAUAUGGCAUUAAUUCAAAACAAAAACAACUUUAGGGUCUCAGUGUAUGACUUGAGUUCAUAAAGUUAAGUAACUAAUUGAACAAGGCAAAUUAAAAGAACUGAGGCUUCAAUUGUCUUUUGUUUAAUAAUCAAACAGUUUUCUCUUUAUCACAGACACUCCUUAGCUGCAGUUCAGCUUGAUGUUUGCUAUUUCUGGUAAUAUGAAUCAUAUAUGCUCCUGUUAAAAAAUUCAAAUAAUUCAGAAAUGUGUAGAGCAGAAUGUGAAAAUCUCUUGUAAUCCCAAUCCAGUUAACUGAUUAGUCUUUCCAAAGUUUGUUUUUUUGUUGUUGUUGUUGUUUGUUUUUUUGAGAUGGAGUCUUGCUCUGUCGCCCAUGCUGGAGUGCAGUGGUGGGAUCUUGGCUCACUGCAACGUCUGCCUCUCGGAUCAAACGAUCCUCCCGCCUCAGCCUCCCAAGUAGUUGGGAUUACCAGUGUGCGCGACCAUGCCCAGCUAAUUUUUGUAUUUUUAGUAGAGACGGGGGUUUCCCCAUGUUGCCUAGGCAUGUCUCACACUCCCGACAUAAAGUGAUCCGCCUGCCUCAGCCUCCCAAAGUGCUAGGAUUACAGGCAUGAGCCACUGCAUCCUGCCUCCAAAGAUUUUCAUAUGCACUAACAAAUACAUUUUUUGAUGGUUUCAUACUAAUUCACGGUUUUGCAUUACCUCACUAUAGUUAGCGAUUUUUGUCUUAGUCUGGAUUCUGUCAAGUUGUAAGAUUCAGAAAACCCAACUUAAAUGGCCUCAUGGAACAAACAUACUUUAUUUUAAAAGUCCAGGGCCUGGCUGGGUAAAGGAGUUUCAGUAAUGCUGUCAGUCCUUGGCUGUGCUCUUUUGUUCUGCUCUUUCCUGUCUUGGUCCCGUUUUCCAGCAGCCUCUCACCUCGUGAUGACAAUAAGAUUAACACAACUCUUCUUAUCAACCCCCCAGUGGAAAGGAGAGAUUCUGGCUUUUUUUUUUUUUUUUUUUUUUCAAGCAGGGUCUUAGUGUGUCGCUCAGGCUAGGGUACAGUAGCACUAUCAUAGCUCACUGCAGCCUCAACCUGGCAGGCUUCUUAACAGUUUCACAAGAGUCUUGUAAUUGCACCUCAUUUGUUCUGAUUAAAUCACAUGUCCAUCCCUGAAUCUGCAACUGUGACCAAGAAGAUGUGAUGUUGCUCAGCGGGUCAAGUCUAGGUCACUUGCUAUCCGUAGAGGCAGAGGUGGAAUUAGCGUCCCUCUAAAUCACAAAGAUGGAGAAUAAGGGAAUGCACAGUUUCCCAGUAGAAAAUAGAAUGUUGUUGAGAAAAAAAAUGAAUACUCAGUAAGAAAAGACAUUCUUUUUUUUUUCUUUUUUGAGACGGAGUCUUGCUCUGUCACCAGGCUGGAGUGCAGUGACGUGAUCUUGGCUCACUGCAGCCUCUGCCUCCCAGGUUGAAGCGAUUCUCCUGCCUCAGCCCCCCUUGUAGCUGAGACUACAGGCGCACGUCACCAUGCCCAGCUAAUU
rnacentral:lncRNA from 1 species